rnacentral:rRNA from 1 species
CUCAGAUUGAACGCUGGCGGCCAGGCCCUAACACAUGCAAGUCGAGCGGAUGAAGGGAGCUUGCUCCUGGAUUCAGCGGCGGACGGGUGAGUAAUGCCUAGGAAUCUGCCUGGUAGUGGGGGAUAACGUCCGGAAACGGGCGCUAAUACCGCAUACGUCCUGAGGGAGAAAGUGGGGGAUCUUCGGACCUCACGCUAUCAGAUGAGCCUAGGUCGGAUUAGCUAGUUGGUGGGGUAAAGGCCUACCAAGGCGACGAUCCGUAACUGGUCUGAGAGGAUGAUCAGUCACACUGGAACUGAGACACGGUCCAGACUCCUACGGGAGGCAGCAGUGGGGAAUAUUGGACAAUGGGCGAAAGCCUGAUCCAGCCAUGCCGCGUGUGUGAAGAAGGUCUUCGGAUUGUAAAGCACUUUAAGUUGGGAGGAAGGGCAGUAAGUUAAUACCUUGCUGUUUUGACGUUACCAACAGAAUAAGCACCGGCUAACUUCGUGCCAGCAGCCGCGGUAAUACGAAGGGUGCAAGCGUUAAUCGGAAUUACUGGGCGUAAAGCGCGCGUAGGUGGUUCAGCAAGUUGGAUGUGAAAUCCCCGGGCUCAACCUGGGAACUGCAUCCAAAACUACUGAGCUAGAGUACGGUAGAGGGUGGUGGAAUUUCCUGUGUAGCGGUGAAAUGCGUAGAUAUAGGAAGGAACACCAGUGGCGAAGGCGACCACCUGGACUGAUACUGACACUGAGGUGCGAAAGCGUGGGGAGCAAACAGGAUUAGAUACCCUGGUAGUCCACGCCGUAAACGAUGUCGACUAGCCGUUGGGAUCCUUGAGAUCUUAGUGGCGCAGCUAACGCGAUAAGUCGACCGCCUGGGGAGUACGGCCGCAAGGUAAAACUCAAAGGAAUUGACGGC